GACGAACGCUGGCGGCGUGCUUAACACAUGCAAGUCGAACGGAAAGGCCCUGCUUUUGUGGGGUGCUCGAGUGGCGAACGGGUGAGUAACACGUGAGUAGCCUGCCCUUGACUUUGGGAUAACUUCAGGAAACUGGGGCUAAUACCGGAUAGGAGCUCCUGCUGCAUGGUGGGGGUUGGAAAGUUUCGGCGGUUGGGGAUGGACUCGCGGCUUAUCAGCUUGUUGGUGGGGUAGUGGCUUACCAAGGCUUUGACGGGUAGCCGGCCUGAGAGGGUGACCGGCCACAUUGGGACUGAGAUACGGCCCAGACUCCUGCGGGAGGCAGCAGUGGGGAAUAUUGCACAAUGGGCGGAAGCCUGAUGCAGCAACGCCGCGUGCGGGAUGACGGCCUUCGGGUUGUAAACCGCUUUCGCCUGUGACGAAGCGUGAGUGACGGUAAUGGGUAAAGAAGCACCGGCUAACUACGUG
rnacentral:rRNA from 1 species